UACAGGCUUAACACAUGCAAGUCGAGGGGCAGCAUUUUAGUUUGCUUGCAAACUGAAGAUGGCGACCGGCGCACGGGUGAGUAACACGUAUCCAACCUGCCGAUAACUCCGGAAUAGCCUUUCGAAAGAAAGAUUAAUACCGGAUAGUAUACGAAUAUCGCAUGAUAUUUUUAUUAAAGAAUUUCGGUUAUCGAUGGGGAUGCGUUCCAUUAGUUUGUUGGCGGGGUAACGGCCCACCAAGACUACGAUGGAUAGGGGUUCUGAGAGGAAGGUCCCCCACAUUGGAACUGAGACACGGUCCAAACUCCUACGGGAGGCAGCAGUGAGGAAUAUUGGUCAAUGGGCGCGAGCCUGAACCAGCCAAGUAGCGUGAAGGAUGAAGGCUCUAUGGGUCGUAAACUUCUUUUAUAUGGGAAUAAAGUUUUCCACGUGUGGAAUUUUGUAUGUACCAUAUGAAUAAGGAUCGGCUAACUCCGUGCCAGCAGCCGCGGUAAUACGGAGGAUCCGAGCGUUAUCCGGAUUUAUUGGGUUUAAAGGGAGCGUAGGUGGAUUGUUAAGUCAGUUGUGAAAGUUUGCGGCUCAACCGUAAAAUUGCAGUUGAAACUGGCAGUCUUGAGUACAGUAGAGGUGGGCGGAAUUCGUGGUGUAGCGGUGAAAUGCUUAGAUAUCACGAAGAACUCCGAUUGCGAAGGCAGCUCA
rnacentral:rRNA from 1 species